rnacentral:rRNA from 1 species
ACGAACGCUGGCGGCGUGGCUAAGGCAUGCAAGUCGAACGAACCUAUCCAACGGGUAACUGGAGGGUAGGCUAGUGGCGAACGGGUGAGGAAUACAUGGAUAACGUACCCCAGACUCAGGGAUAGCGGCGGGCCGCAAGGUCCUUUGCGAAAGUGCCGGUAAUACCUGAUGACCUCGUGGAGUCGCAUGACUCCGCGGGCAAAGCUCCGACGGUCUGGGAGCGGUUCAUGUCCUAUCAGCUAGUUGGUGAGGUAACGGCCCACCAAGGCUUUGACGGGUAUCGGGCGUGAGAGCGUGACCCGACACAUCGGAACUGAGACACUGUCCGGACACCUACGGGUGGCUGCAGCAACGAAUAUUCCGCAAUGGACGAAAGUCUGACGGAGCGACGCCGCGUGCAGGAAGAAGUCUUUCGGGAUGUAAACUGCUGUCAGGGGUGAGGAAUCAUGACCAGCCCCAGAGGAAGCACCGGCUAACUCCGU